UACGUAGGUGGCAAGCGUUGUCCAGAUUUACUGGGCGUAAAGAGCGCGCAGGCGGUCGUUCAAGUCGCGUGUGAAAGCCCCCGGCUCAACUGGGGAGGGUCACGCGAUACUGAUCGACUCGAAGGCAGGAGAGGGUAGUGGAAUUCCCGGUGUAGUGGUGAAAUGCGUAGAUAUCGGGAGGAACACCAGUGGCGAAGGCGACUACCUGGCCUGUUUCUUGACGCUGAGGCGCGAAAGCUAGGGGAGCAAACGGG
rnacentral:rRNA from 1 species